GUCGUCAGCUCGUGUCGUGAGAUGUUGGGUUAAGUCCCGCAACGAGCGCAACCCCUAUUGUUAGUUGCCAUCAUUCAGUUGGGCACUCUAGCGAGACUGCCGGUAAUAAACCGGAGGAAGGUGGGGAUGACGUCAAAUCAUCAUGCCCCUUAUGACCUGGGCUACACACGUGCUACAAUGGUUGGUACAACGAGUUGCGAGUCGGUGACGGCGAGCUAAUCUCUUAAAGCCAAUCUCAGUUCGGAUUGUAGGCUGCAACUCGCCUACAUGAAGUCGGAAUCGCUAGUAAUCGCGGACCAGCACGCCGCGGUCGAGUACGUUCCCGGGCCUU
rnacentral:rRNA from 1 species